rnacentral:rRNA from 1 species
GACGAACGCUGGCGGCGUGCUUAACACAUGCAAGUCGAACGGAAAGGCCCUUCGGGGUACUCGAGUGGCGAACGGGUGAGUAACACGUGGGUGAUCUGCCCUGCACUUUGGGAUAAGCCUGGGAAACUGGGUCUAAUACCGAAUAGGACCACGCGCUUCAUGGUGUGUGGUGGAAAGCUUUUGCGGUGUGGGAUGGGCCCGCGGCCUAUCAGCUUGUUGGUGGGGUAAUGGCCUACCAAGGCGACGACGGGUAGCCGGCCUGAGAGGGUGACCGGCCACACUGGGACUGAGAUACGGCCCAGACUCCUACGGGAGGCAGCAGUGGGGAAUAUUGCACAAUGGGCGCAAGCCUGAUGCAGCGACGCCGCGUGGGGGAUGACGGCCUUCGGGUUGUAAACCUCUUUCAAUAGGGACGAAGCGCAAGUGACGGUACCUAUAGAAGAAGCACCGGCCAACUACGUG